rnacentral:rRNA from 1 species
GGCGGCGUGCUUAACACAUGCAAGUCGAACGAACCUUCGGGUUAGUGGCGGACGGGUGAGUAACGCGUGAGAAUCUGCCCUCAGGAGGGGGAUAACGGCUGGAAACGGCCGCUAAUACCCCAUAUGCCGAGAGGUGAAAUGAAUUUCGCCUGAGGAUGAGCUCGCGUCUGAUUAGCUAGUUGGUGGGGUAAAAGCCUACCAAGGCUUCGAUCAGUAGCUGGUCUGAGAGGAUGAUCAGCCACACUGGGACUGAGACACGGCCCAGACUCCUACGGGAGGCAGCAGUGGGGAAUUUUCCGCAAUGGGCGAAAGCCUGACGGAGCAACGCCGCGUGAGGGAUGAAGGCCUCUGGGCUGUAAACCUCUUUUCUCAAGGAAGAAGAUCUGACGGUACUUGAGGAAUAAGCCACGGCUAAUUCCGUGCCAGCAGCC